AUCGCAAAAGACUUAGCGCUCGCAGCUCAGUUGUUUCACUGAUUCUUGAUCACAGGAUGAAGCGGCAUCUGUAUCUAGCAGUCGUCCAGUGUGGAAAUGCUGGCUCUGGAUUGGUCAGUCGCCUGCUCUCACGGGGGUCCUAUAGUCUGUCUGCUCUCUGAUAUCGACUUCACUCACACACUUCUGACGCUGAACGCGCCGACGGAAUCAUUCACGAAUCAUGAACCUCUGAGGACUCAAGUUUUUGUAUUUCGCUUUCCGAGGGGUUGUCUUUUCAUCUUAAUGCGAUUUCCAGCUUAUUUAGAUUUUCUCGUUGUUAUUCCAGCGGUCAUCAACUCUGAUGGGAAUGCAGCGGAAUACUAAAUGUUAUAGAAAGUCAGGCAAGCAACACAUGGAACGGGGACUGGACCAUCACAUCUAACACCAUCUCAUGGGAUCAGAAUGGAUUUUCAUUCAUUUUAUUUAAUACCAAAUCUCUCUUAAAAAUCUGAGGGGAAAUGUCUGUAGAUACUUUUUAAAAUACUUACCAAGUUUUUAUUUUUAAUUGGCGAUCCAACAAUCUGGAACAUUUUUAACAAGGUAACUCUUGAUUGUUGGUCUUCUGGUAAGGCUGACACUAGGCCUUGUGAGGUAGCUGUUGCGUGGAGCUGCAGCUAUGGACAUUGAGGCGAGGGAUCUUCCUUUCUCCCCAGGAAGCUCACCAUGCUGAACGAUGUCUUUGACGUGUCGUACAUGAUUCUGGAGCUGCUGAUUGCCCUGCUCUCGGUCCUGGGCAACGUGUUGGUCUGCUGGGCAGUGGGCCUCAAUAGCAACCUCCAGAGCAUCACCAACUUCUUUGUUGUUUCGCUGGCCGUGGCGGACAUCGCAGUGGGUGUGCUGGCCAUUCCCUUCUCCAUCGUGAUUAGCACUGGAUUCUGUGCCAGUUUCUACGGUUGUCUGUUCAUCGCCUGCUUCGUCCUGGUGCUGACCCAGAGCUCCAUAUUUAGUCUUCUAGCUAUUGCCAUCGACCGCUACAUUGCUAUCAAGAUCCCGCUGAGAUUCUAGGCCAGGAGGGGAGUUCAUGCAUAGUUCAGUGGUGGCACAGCAGAACAAUAUUCUACAUAUGAGUCUAGUCUACAAAUUACAUACAGACACAUACAUUACUGCACGCUGCUGAGACAGUAAACACGUGUUAAGACUGAGAUGUUCAUGUGGAUCCUUUGAGGAAUACAAAGCAUUUAUUUGGAACAGACAAAUGCAAUCUGGAUCCCCAAGGUAACUUAAAGUAAGCUUCAGCUCAGGUCCAAUAUGGGUUAAUAUUGGAGAUGAAUUUAAUUGAGUUACUUAAAACUUUAAUGUAACAUGAAUUUCAAUGGUGAAAUUAUAUUCUUACAUUUUUGAAGUUGUUUCUGCACUACUAAAAAAUAAAGGUGGUUAAAUUGUUCUUCACAGUGAUGCCAUAGAAGAACCAUUUUGGUUCCACAAAGAACCACUGAGUCAAAGGUUCUUUCUUGCCCUUUAAACAAAAUGGAACCUUCUUUCACCACAAAUGCUCUUUAGAUUUUAAAGGUUCUUUAUGGAACCAUUUUUACAAAAAGUUUCUUCUAUGGUAUUGUGAAGCACCUUUAAUUUUAAGAGUGUAGGAGUUUGUAUGCUUGCUGUGGUGUUGAUGUAGCCAAUGUGCUCCCAGAGGUUUAUUAAAAAACACAGUGAAGUUUUAUUCUUAGAGUCUGGGGGUUGUUCAACUCUAAGCAAUACUAAAAAUCAGAAACACACUUGUUAAGAUACUAGGUGUUAAUUUGAAGCUGAACAGACUCCGUGUAAGUGAUCUAAAAAAAAAUCUGUUCUAUUUAGACACUGUGGACAUGAUGGAUAGAAUUGGAGAGUUUGUGAACCUGGCAGAGAGAGCACAGAGCACAGAUUUCAUUAGUUUGCUGAAGGAGAGAGAGAGAUAUAUUCCAUUACAUGUAUGACGUGAGUUUGCCCUCACCUACGUCAAGUACAUCAGAUACCAAAACAACUCUGGAAUAUCAGUAAAAACAGUUUUGUAUGUUCCCUUGUGCAGGAAGUGAAGGCAGUGAAGGUCCAAAGUGCACGGCAGUGUUUGACUUUGGGACAAGUUGCCCUGAGCUAGCAGGCAAUGCUUCUAUUUCUCAUUUGUUCAGCUAUAAUUUAUUAAAAAGGAAGAAUUUGAUAUGAAGAAAAACACUCCUUCCUUCUUCUUUUCAUUGUCUUCUCAAUGUCUUCUCGACAUGUUCACUAGCAUUUUUGGUAUGGAUAUAGUAG